rnacentral:rRNA from 1 species
GCGGGGCACGUGAAACCUUGUCUGAAUAUGGGGGGACCAUCCUCCAAGGCUAAAUACUCCUGACUGACCGAUAGUGAACCAGUACCGUGAGGGAAAGGCGAAAAGAACCCCGGAGAGGGGAGUGAAAUAGAACCUGAAACCGUAUGCGUACAAGCAGUGGGAGCCCACUUUGUUGGGUGACUGCGUACCUUUUGUAUAAUGGGUCAACGACUUAGUGUAACUAGCAAGCUUAAGCCGGUAGGUGUAGGCGCAGCGAAAGCGAGUCUGAAUAGGGCGU